rnacentral:lncRNA from 1 species
ACAUCUCCCACUCGUACAUGAGGGGAUGACAUUAUCCAUCAAUGCAUCAGAAAGAACUAUAACCAUUAGCACGUGUUGCAAUAUUCACACAGACAAAUAGACCGUGUGACCAAUGAAUACAUAAUUAAAAAACUUAUUGGAGCUAUGAGAUCUCAAUUGUAACUAUAUACAAGAGAUUCUCUUAUUUAUUCAUUACGUGCUAGAUUUAAUAUGUUACAUCAAUUAAAUUAGAAACUCCUAAAAUAUAGACAAUUUUGUCCAUAUUUCUGAGGAAAAAAAAGCCAUUUUUCACGGUCUUGACAAACUCUUCAUUUUUCCUAACCAUCUAAAUGUUAUCAUCAUCUUUGAUCUUUUAAUCAUGCAAGUAAUGGUUUCUUUAAUCAUCUAAACCUUGUAAUAAAUUAUAGUUUCAUGAAAUUUAAGAUACAAUUUUUCGAGAAUUGCUAUAAACAUUAUAUAUCUAGAUCUUUUUAGGGGUGCAUACUCUGCCCUCAAGACAUUUAACAACAAUACCAAGUAGUUUCUCUGUCGUCUACAAAAUCAAGGCAUUACAGUUAAGGAAUCAUAUUAUACCAUGAUCAUAUUUUUAAAUCAAUAAAACUUGUUUCCGUGGAUUUCAAACGUAUUGGAAAAAAAAAAAAAAACACACUAAGCUGGUUCUGAUACCAAUGCCAGAAUAUAUAGCAUGCUCCAUGAAUUCAAAAACAAUUACCUGAAUUCUUAUCUGUUGCAUGUGAAAGCGGAUGCGGAAGUGGAAGAACCAAGGUUGAAUCACAGUUCAAUUUGAUCGGAAAUCACAAAUUCGGAAAGCUUUCUCAAAUUACAAUUUAAGACUUACUUGAAAUGAAUUAUAGAGUUCUCAAAAACUAUCUAAUUAUUAUUUCUCUUGCAUUCCUCUCUGCCUUUACCUAUAAGGUUGCAUUCUUUAUAAUCCAUGCUCUCUGCAUCUUGUUACUUUGCUAGGAGAGAAGAUUAAAGAGAGGAAGAGAAAUUAGCAAAAUUCAACAUCAUUCAACUUCCCCUCAACUUUUCUUUAUAACUACGCUACUGGUAGAAAUUACCGAAGUGGUAUUUACUUCAAUAUAGGUUGGAUCGGGGCAGCCCAUCAUGGGCACCCUAUUCGACAACCUGCCAAGAUCUAAUACAAAGUAGGGGUCUGGUUCAGACUCCAGAGUUUUAUCAAUCACGUAGUAUGUGUCAGAUCUGAA